UACGUAGGCAGCGAGCGUUGUUCGGAGUUACUGGGCGUAAAGGGUGUGUAGGCGGUCCUCUAAGUUCGGUGUGAAAUCUCCCGGCUCAACUGGGAGGGUGCGCCGGAAACUGGAAGGCUUCGAGUGCGGGAUGGGAGAGUGGAAUUCCUGGUGUAGCGGUGAAAUGCGUAGAUAUCAGGAGGAACACCUGUGGUGUAGACGGCUCUCUGGACCGUAACUGACGCUGAGACACGAAAGCGUGGGUAGCAAACAGGAUUAGAUACCCUGGUAGUCCACGCCCUAAACGAUGCACAUUUGGUGUAGGUCAUUCAUUUGAUCUGUGCCGGAGCUAACGCGUUAAAUGUGCCGCCUGGGGAGUACGGUCGCAAGGCUGAA
rnacentral:rRNA from 1 species